rnacentral:rRNA from 1 species
AGAGUUUGAUCCUGGCUCAGAUUGAACGCUGGCGGAAUGCUUUACACAUGCAAGUCGAGCGGCAGCGCGGGGGCAACCCUGGCGGCGGGCGGCGAACGGGUGAGUAACACAUAGGAACAUACCCAGUAAUGGGGGAUAACGCCGAGAAAUCGGUGCUAAUACCGCAUACGCCCUGAGGGGGAAAGCGGGGGAUCUUCGGACCUCGCGUUAUUGGAUUGGCCUAUGUCUGAUUAGCUAGUUGGUGGGGUAAAGGCCCACCAAGGCAUCGAUCAGUAGCUGGUCUGAGAGGAUGAUCAGCCACACUGGAACUGAGACACGGUCCAGACUCCUACGGGAGGCAGCAGUGGGGAAUUUUGGACAAUGGGCGAAAGCCUGAUCCAGCCAUUCCGCGUGAGUGAAGAAGG